rnacentral:rRNA from 1 species
UACGUAGGGGGCUAGCGUUGUCCGGAUUUAUUGGGCGUAAAGAGCGUGUAGGCGGCCAGGUAGGUCUGGUGUGAAAACUCGAGGCUUAACCUCGAGAUGUCAUCGGAAACCAUCUGGCUAGAGUCCGGAAGAGGAGAGUGGAAUUCCUGGUGUAGCGGUGAAAUGCGCAGAUAUCAGGAAGAACACCAAUGGCGAAAGCAGCUCUCUGGGACGGUACUGACGCUGAGACGCGAAAGCGUGGGGAGCAAACAGG